AUUGAACGCUGGCGGAAUGCUUUACACAUGCAAGUCGAACGGCAGCACGGGGGCAGCCCUGGUGGCGAGUGGCGAACGGGUGAGUAUUACAUCGGAACGUGCCCGGUCGUGGGGGAUAACGUAGCGAAAGUUACGCUAAUACCGCAUACGAUCUGAGGAUGAAAGCGGGGGACCUUCGGGCCUCGCGCGAUCGGAGCGUCCGAUGUCAGAUUAGGUAGUUGGUGGGGUAAAGGCCUACCAAGCCGACGAUCUGUAGCUGGUCUGAGAGGACGGCCAGCCACACUGGGACUGAGACACGGCCCAGACUCCUACGGGAGGCAGCAGUGGGGAAUUUUGGACAAUGGGCGCAAGCCUGAUCCAGCCAUUCCGCGUGCAGGACGAAGGCCUUCGGGUUGUAAACUGCUUUUGUAUGGAACGAAAAGGCUCUGGCUAAUACCUGGGGCUCAUGACGGUACCGUAAGAAUAAGCACCGGCUAACUACGUG
rnacentral:rRNA from 1 species